CCCUUAGAUGUUCUGGGCCGCACGCGUGCUACACUGAGUGGAUCAGCGGGUCAGGUUGCGCGAAAGCGUUUCCUAAUCUUUAAAUCCGCUCGUGAUGGGGAUUGACGGUUGCAAUUUUCUGUCAUGAACGAGGAAUACCUUGUAAGCGCGGGUCAUCAUCCCGCGCUGAAUACGUCCCUGCCCUUUGUACACACCGCCCGUCGCUCCUACCGAUUGAUUGAUCCGGUGAAUUACAUAGAAUUUUGCGUUUUACAUGACGGAAGACGAAGUGUUUUAAACCUUAUCAUUUAGAGGAAGGAGAAGUCGUAACA
rnacentral:rRNA from 1 species